UAGACAUUAGGUAUCCUUGUCAUUCACAGCCCCCAGGUCCUGGUGCUGCUGGUGUGCUGGAUGAGCUUUUCCACUUCCUCCAACAGUCAUUGCUGUUGGCUGCCACCCUGGCCCAGAGAUCAAGCUGCCCGGACAUACAAGGUGAAAGAAGAUGAGCAGUGAAACCAAGUUCAUGUGACCUGCAGCGGCUGCAUAGCUAAGUGGGGUCAUUCCAUUUUCAGAUGUCCCAUCCAGAGCAGCUCCAAAUUCCACCAGAAGAGUGACCAUUUCUUCAUGUCCCAGCUCUGGAUGCUUCAAGGUUUCUUCAAUCAUUUGAAACAUCCAGUCUCUUCCGACAAACACAGAGUCUGUUGUUAUGCUUGGC